GGCCGAGUAGCUCAGCCUGGGAGAGCGCUGCACUGAAGAUGCAGUUGUCCCCGGUUCAAAUCCGGGCUCGGCCA
rfam:Candidatus Nanosalinarum sp. J07AB56 genomic scaffold scf_7180000039072, whole genome shotgun sequence.